CUACGUGCCAGCAGCCGCGGUAAUACGUAGGGCGCGAGCGUUGUCCGGAAUUAUUGGGCGUAAAGGGCUUGUAGGCGGUUGGUCGCGUCUGCCGUGAAAUUCUCUGGCUUAACUGGGGGCGUGCGGUGGGUACGGGCUGACUUGAGUGCGGUAGGGGAGACUGGAACUCCUGGUGUAGCGGUGGAAUGCGCAGAUAUCAGGAAGAACACCGGUGGCGAAGGCGGGUCUCUGGGCCGUUACUGACGCUGAGGAGCGAAAGCGUGGGGAGCGAACAGGAUUAGAUACCCUGGUAGUCCACGCCGUAAACGAUGUCUACUUGGAGGCUGUUCCCUUGAGGAGUGGCUUCCGGAGCUAACGCGUUAAGUAGACCGCCUGGGGAGUACGGCCGCAAGGUUAAAACUCAAAUGAAUUGACGGGGGCCCGCACAAGCGGUGGAGCAUGUGGUUUAAUUCGAUGAUACGCGAGGAACCUUACCCGGGCUUGAAC
rnacentral:rRNA from 1 species